AUGAAAUCCAGGCAACUUCCAUUUUUGUCACGCGGGGCACCCGUAGCUUUUCAAAUACAUGUGGAGGGGAAGGAGCUCGUUUCCAUGGUUUACUCAACAAAACAAGGAUCUGGAGGGAGCGUCGCUAGUGUUACACUAACUAUUUAUUGUGAACAAUUAUUUUGCUUUCUUGGAGUUAAAAACGUCAGAGAUGACUGAAUUACACCAGGCUGCAGCUGCAGGAGAUUGUGAUCUGGUAGAAGAUAUUCUGAAAAAGGGUUUAUGUAAUCCAAAUCAUAAAGAUAUCGAUUGGGACUGCAGGACUCCUCUACACUGGGCUGCUUCCAAAGGACAAGCUGAAACAGUAAGGAUUCUGGUAGAGCAUGGGGCUCGUGCUUGCCUUAGGACUGACACUGGCUGGACUCCGGCUCAUUUUGCUGCUGAAGCAGGAAGGCUGGUGGUCCUCAGAAUGCUACACUCACUGCAUGCUCCUGUUGACAAGGAUGACUUGUUUGGUGACACACCUGCAAGAAUUGCAGCAAUAUAUGGACAUAAAGAAUGUGUUAAGUUUCUAGAAGUAGCAGAACUUGAGAGCAAGGAUUACCGGCAGAUGGCAGAGUCCAGAGGCAUUACUUUGGAUGACACGGAUGAAGAAUGGGAGCAACAGAAGAAAGACAUGGAGGAAAAUAGGUUUUCAUGUUUGGACAAAAAUGCUAAAGCAUUGGAGAAACAAAAUGAAACUACAGCAAUUGCCUCUAAAGGAAAAACCAAGUUGGAGACACAGUCAAGAAAAAAUCGAAAUAAUACAUGUAGGCCUAGACUCCAGAAACAUGGUCCAAAAGCUCAAGCUAGGAGCUAAUACACAGACUACACGUGCAGGGAUGAUUCCCAAAGUGUGUGUAUAUACCGCUUUGUAAUAAUCUAGACUUUUGACAACACUAGUCAUUUUGUAGACAUUUUGUCUGAUGUUUUUGCAAAAACGGGGACCACCAAAACAUACAAAAAAAGAAUUGAUGGAAUAGAUAUACAGUAGUUCCAGAUUUUACAAAUACUGUACACAUACACAGACACUUUCAGUUUAGCUGAUUGACAUACUGUAUCCUGUAUAAAUAUGCAUGUAUACAUAAUGUAUAUGUCUAAAUAUGGAUUUAUAGACAUACUGUAUGUGGAAUGUAGUGGCAGGGCAGUAGUGUGGAGUAGUGGUUAGGGCUCUGGACUCUUGACCGGAGGGUCAAGGGUUCAAUCCCCGGUCGGGGACACUGCUGUUGUACCCUUGCGCAAGGUACUUUACCUAGAUUGCUCCAGUAAAAACCCAACUGUAUAAAUGGGUAAUUGUAUGUAAAAAUAAUGUGAUAUCUUCUAACAAUUGUAAGUCGCCCUGGAUAAGGGCGUCUGCUAAGAAAUAAAUAAUAAUAAUAAUAAUAAUGUUAUCAGAAAUAAGAAAAUUGCCUACUUUGUGGCCCAUGCAAUAAAGAUGUACCGUAUUAAAUGUGUCAUGCAAGUACUGUACUUACUGUUAAAUUUUGUGCAUUUUGCAAAUACUGUAGUGGCUGUUCAAUUUUGUGAGUGAGCUUUUACUGUUAUGCAAGUACUGUAUGUUAUGCGUCAUUAUUUUUAGUUGCAGCUCUUGUCAUGAAACACAGCGUAAAACAUUUUAUUUCAAAUGGUGAUAAAGAGGGAGUCUUAAGAACUUAUGUUCUGGUUAUCUGUUUGUAUUUUUUUUCUUGUUUUUGAACAAAUGAACAAAAAUCCAUCCAGAAAGCAAGUAUAUACGUGCAAACUGUUUAUAUUUAUGACCAUGCCGAAACUGCAACUUUAUUACGCAGCGGCCACAACUACUUGAUAAAAAAAUCACGAUUUUCUUACAGCCUUAUAUAUAUGUAUGUAUGUAUGUGUAAUAUAUUGAUAAUCUUUGUUUACACUAAUCAUUGUGGUCCAGUGGUUAAAGAAAAGGGCUUGUAACCAGGAGGUCCCCGGUUCAAAUCCCACCUCAGCCACUGACUCAUUGUGUGACCCUGAGCAAGUUGCUUAACCUCCUUGUGCUCCGCCUUUCGGAUGAGACGUAAUUUAACUGGACAAGAAAAAUGAGAAAUCAAUGCAAGCAGGUGAGUAGGAACUGACAUAUACUGAACUUUCCAUAAUAUAAAAUAGAAUUUAAGGGUAUUAGGCCGGUAAAGUCAACAAAGUAGGAUGUUUCCCCAAAGAAACAGGCAUUUUCCAAAGUAUUUAGCACAUUUUAGUUCUUUUUAAAUCAUAUGGUUGGCGGUUAAAACAUUCAGUUCCCUUGUUAAGAUUAUUGCUGGAUCAUGCUACUCUGUAAUGAAAGAUAGACGGAUAAAAUUGACAUUUGACCCUUGUAACCCUGUUUUGUUAAGCACACUCUAAAACAGAGUUCCAGCACACACAGAGUUAAUCACGUGCAUACAACGUGCAGGGAACAGGUGACCUAACUGAAAAAAGUAAAUGUAUCUUUUUAGAGGCACUAGAGAGAAGCUUCUAGAAAAACUGACAAAAAAGACAAAGUAAAUUGCAAGCAACAGAGCAAGUCAUUAGAGCAAUAUAUAGUGCUUUUAUUUUUUUUAGAAAUAAAUAAAUAAAAAGCAAGCAGAGUGUAAACAAUAGAAAAUACGUUUUACUUAUUUUUGGUAAAUAGAGAAAGAAAUCGCAAGCAACAGCAAGUUGUUAGGAUUUAUUUUGCAAACAAUAUAGUGUACCUAUGUAUAUAUAUAGUUUAAAGGAAUCCUUGAACUUUGGGAAAAGAGCUGAAGAACUUCAACGCUUUAGGGACUGAGAUCUGUGAUUUUCUGGUGAGUUAUAAUAUAUUAAAAAAUAACUUAAGAAAAACGGUAUUUUUGUUUAUUAUUGUUCUGCAAUACUGUAUAAAACCAACCAGAAUUUAUUUGUGUUAUGUGCUUUUGAACAGUAAUGGUAAACAGAAUGUGUACUAUGAUAUAUUUUAUUUUUGUAUUAUUUUAAAUGCAAUCCUUAUGUGUGUUUUGGUUAAAUUGAAAGAAAGUGAAGCUUACGAUUCUGACAGAUAGUAAGGAAAAAAACCCUGUAAAUUAAAUGUAAACACAUUGAAAUUGUGUUUAUAAAGAGAUGCUGUAGAAAUCAUUUAAGUUAAAAGAAAGAUAAAUAUAACUACGCAGUUGCAAAAGAAAUUAAAACAAAGGCAGAGGAAUACAGAAUUUGUGAAAUGCUGUAUACUUUUAUUUCUGUUUUAGACAAAAGGUUUAUAUAAACGCACAUUUCUUUUUUGUUGAUAGUAUACUGGAAAAUUAAACUGAAAGAAAAAUACACUAUGAAUAAUCUGCAAUGUUAAAAGAAAAAAACGAUUGUUUAACUGUAUAUCGAGUGAAAAUUAUUUAGACCUGCAUAAUGAUGUGUGUUCCAAUAUGUAGGUUGGUUUUUUUGGGGGGAAACGUUUCUUUGACCGAGAAGCCAUCACCAUUCCUUCUUACCAGGACUGAUGAUAUUGUAACAGCUAUUCAGCAGCAACGUUAUCCACAGCUGUGAACCAACUCUCUGCAACGACUUCAUUUCAAUUAUUUUAUUGGCCUAAGGAUUGAACUGAGUGGUAGGAUAAACCUAACUGGGUAGAUAAAUGAAUGGACGGUGAACUGUGGAUUGUGCUUAUUUGUGCUGUAUCAAUUGGUGAUGUGCAUGAUGAUUUAAUAUUGUUACUGUUUUUAUUUUCUUUAAGAAAAAAAGAUAAAUGUCAUAUGCAAGAACAGUAAUUACACUUGUUGUCAAAUUAUUUCUUUAGAUUACCGGUAUGUUACUAUUGUGCAAAUCAAUGAAACCAGUCUCCCAACGAACCUAACGGUAACCUGGAAGUAUAUUUCACUAAAGUAGGGUUACACCCUCAUGAUUGUUGUGGAUUUUAAUGGGGUUUUUAUGUUCAUAAUGACUGGUCUUGUGUACACUAGCAUAAAGUAUUUUGUCAAAAUGUUGUUGUUGUUUUUUUUAACAAGAUUUAAACUAGGUCAACUAGAAUAACAAAUGUGGAUUGCUCCAGUGGUUACAUUAUCUGUGCAGGGAUCUCCACACACCAACCCCUAUAUAAGAAAGAAAAAAAGAAAAUGCACAUUGGUAAGUAGAGUAGAUUGCUUCAAGCAGCUGUAUUUAAAACAAGGUUCAAUAUGUGGAUUCUGUGGAUGGCCUUUACUUUGUG